GCAAGUCGAACGCUCACGACCUUCGGGUCAUAUGUGAGAGUGGCGAACGGGUGAGUAACACGUGAGAAACCUGCCUUGAAGAUCGGGACAACCACGUGAAACUGUGGCUAAUACCGGAUACCUUCCUACCGUCGCAUGGCGGUUUGAAGAAAUGCUCCGGCGCUUCAAGAGGGUCUCGCGGCCUAUCAGCGAGUUGGUGAGGUAAUGGCUCACCAAGGCAUCGACGGGUAGCUGGUCUGAGAGGACGAGC
rnacentral:rRNA from 1 species